UACGAAGGGGGCUAGCGUUGUUCGGAAUUACUGGGCGUAAAGCGUGCGCAGGCGGUGAUGUAAGACAGAUGUGAAAUCCCCGGGCUCAACCUGGGAACUGCAUUUGUGACUGCAUGGCUAGAGUGCGGCAGAGGGGGAUGGAAUUCCGCGUGUAGCAGUGAAAUGCGUAGAUAUGCGGAGGAACACCGAUGGCGAAGGCAAUCCCCUGGGCCUGCACUGACGCUCAUGCACGAAAGCGUGGGGAGCAAACAGG
rnacentral:rRNA from 1 species